UACGGAGGGAGCUAGCGUUAUUCGGAAUUACUGGGCGUAAAGCGUACGUAGGCGGCUUUGCAAGUUAGAGGUGAAAGCCUGGAGCUCAACUCCAGAACUGCCUUUAAAACUGCAUCGCUUGAAUCCAGGAGAGGUGAGUGGAAUUCCGAGUGUAGAGGUGAAAUUCGUAGAUAUUCGGACGAACACCAGUGGCGAAGGCGGCUCACUGGACUGGUAUUGACGCUGAGGUACGAAAGCGUGGGGAGCAAACAGG
rnacentral:rRNA from 1 species